GACGAACGCUGGCGGCGUGCUUAACACAUGCAAGUCGAGCGGUAAGGCCUUUCGGGGUACACGAGCGGCGAACGGGUGAGUAACACGUGGGUGAUCUGCCUCGCACUUCGGGAUAAGCCUGGGAAACUGGGUCUAAUACCGGAUAUGACCAUGGGAUGCAUGUCUUGUGGUGGAAAGAUUUAUCGGUGUGAGAUGGGCCCGCGGCCUAUCAGCUUGUUGGUGGGGUAAGGCCUACCAAGGCGACGACGGGUAGCCGGCCUGAGAGGGCGACCGGCCACACUGGGACUGAGACACGGCCCAGACUCCUACGGGAGGCAGCAGUGGGGAAUAUUGCACAAUGGGCGAAAGCCUGAUGCAGCGACGCCGCGU
rnacentral:rRNA from 1 species